rnacentral:rRNA from 1 species
UACAGAGGGGGCAAGCGUUGUUCGGAAUUACUGGGCGUAAAGGGCGCGUAGGCGGCCUGUUAAGUCGAACGUGAAAUCCCCGGGCUCAACCCGGGAACUGCGUCCGAUACUGGCAGGCUUGAAUUCGGGAGAGGGAUGUGGAAUUCCAGGUGUAGCGGUGAAAUGCGUAGAUAUCUGGAGGAACACCGGUGGCGAAGGCGGCAUCCUGGACCAU